rnacentral:rRNA from 1 species
AUUGAACGCUGGCGGCAGGCUUAACACAUGCAAGUCGAGCGAGCGGCGGACGGGUGAGUAAUGUCUGGGAAACUGCCUGAUGGAGGGGGAUAACUAAUGGAAACGGUAGCUAAUACCGCCUACCAUCAGCUGUGCCCAGAUGGGAUUAGCUAGUAGGUGGGGUAAUGGCGAACCUAGGCGACGAUCCCUAGCUGGUCUGCGAGGAUGACCACCCACACUGGAACUGAUGCACGGUCCAGACUCCUACGUGAGGCAGCAGUGGGGAAUAUUGCACCAUGGGCGCAAGCCUGAUGCAGCCAUGCCGCGUGUGUGAAGAAGGCCUUCGGGUGGUAAAGCACUUUCAGCGAGGAGGCGUUACUCGCAGAAGAAGCACCGGCUAACUCCGUGCCAGCAGCCGCGGUAAUUC